CGAAGCGUGCGAUUGGAUUGCACGUCUAAGCAGUAAGGCUGAGUAUUAGGCAAAUCCGGUACUCGUUAAGGCUGAGCUGUGAUGGGGAGAAGACAUUGUGUCUUCGAGUCGUUGAUUUCACACUGCCGAGAAAAGCCUCUAGAUAGAAAAUAGGUGCCCGUACCGCAAACCGACACAGGUAGUCAAGAUGAGAAUUCUAAGGUGAGCGAGCGAACUCUCGUUAAGGAACUCGGCAAAAUGACCCCGUAACUUCGGGAGAAGGGGUGCUCUUUAGGGUUAACGCCCAGAAGAGCCGCAGUGAAUAGGCCCAAGCGACUGUUUAUCAAAAACACAGGUCUCUGCUAAACCGUAAGGUGAUGUAUAGGGGCUGACGCCUGCCCGGUGCUGGAAGGUUAAGAGGAGUGGUUAGCUUCUGCGAAGCUACGAAUCGAAGCCCCAGUAAACGGCGGCCGUAACUAUAACGGUCCUAAGGUAGCGAAAUUCCUUGUCGGGUAAGUUCCGACCCGCACGAAAGGCGUAACGAUUUGGGCACUGUCUCAACGAGAGACUCGGUGAAAUCAUAGUACCUGUGAAGAUGCAGGUUACCCGCGACAGGACGGAAAGACCCCGUGGAGCUUUACUGUAGCCUGAUAUUGAAAUUCGGCACAGCUUGUACAGGAUAGGUAGGAGCCUUUGAAACGUGAGCGCUAGCUUACGUGGAGGCGCUGGUGGGAUACUACCCUAGCUGUGUUGGCUUUCUAACCCGCACCACUUAUCGUGGUGGGAGACAGUGUCAGGCGGGCAGUUUGACUGGGGCGGUCGCCUCCUAAAAGGUAACGGAGGCGCUCAAAGGUUCCCUCAGAAUGGUUGGAAAUCAUUCAUAGAGUGUAAAGGCAUAAGGGAGCUUGACUGCGAGACCUACAAGUCGAGCAGGGUCGAAAGACGGACUUAGUGAUCCGGUGGUUCCGCAUGGAAGGGCCAUCGCUCAACGGAUAAAAGCUACCCCGGGGAUAACAGGCUUAUCUCCCCCAAGAGUUCACAUCGACGGGGAGGUUUGGCACCUCGAUGUCGGCUCAUCGCAUCCUGGGGCUGUAGUCGGUCCCAAGGGUUGGGCUGUUCGCCCAUUAAAGCGGUACGCGAGCUGGGUUCAGAACGUCGUGAGACAGUUCGGUCCCUAUCCGUCGUGGGCGUAGGAAAUUUGAGAGGAGCUGUCCUUAGUACGAGAGGACCGGGAUGGACAUACCUCUGGUGUACCAGUUGUCGUGCCAACGGCAUAGCUGGGUAGCUAUGUGUGGACGGGAUAAGUGCUGAAAGCAUCUAAGCAUGAAGCCCCCCUCAAGAUGAGAUUUCCC
rnacentral:rRNA from 1 species